GAUGAACGCUAGCGGCAGGCCUAACACAUGCAAGUCGAGGGGUAGAGGCUUUCGGGCAUUGAGACCGGCGCACGGGUGCGUAACGCGUAUGCAAUCUGCCUUGUACUGAGGGAUAGCCCAGAGAAAUUUGGAUUAACAACUCAGAGUAUUUUAGUGUGGCAUCACAUUAUUAUUAAAGGUUACGGUACAACAUGAACAUGCGUCCCAUUAGCAAGUUGGUAUGGUAACGGCAUACCAAGGCUACGAUGGGUAGGGGUCCGGAGAGGGAGAUCCCCCACACUAGUACUGAGACACGGACCAGACUCCUACGGGAGGCAGCAGUGAGGAAUAUUGGUCAAUGGUCGCAAGACUGAACCAGCCAUGCCGCGUGCAGGAUGAAGCAUCUAUGGUGUGUAAACUGCUUUUGUACGGGAAGAAACACCGCUACGUGUAGCGGCUUGACGGUACCGUAAGAAUAAGGAUCGGCUAACUCCGUGCCAGCCGCCGCCGUAAUAC
rnacentral:rRNA from 1 species